ACAGCUGUUGCAUUGUGUUUGUCAGCUCUUGUCGUUGAGAUGAUUGGGUUAAGAUCCUCCCCACGAGGCGCAACCCCUAUCCUCCAUUAGCCACCCAGUUAUAAGCUGGGCACUCUGAAGGAGACUGCCAGGGACUAACACCUGGAGGAAGGCUGGGGAUGACGUCAAAUCAUCAUGCCCCUUAUGAUCUCUGGGUACACACGUGUUACAAUUGGCGUAGAUACAAAGGGAAGCGAGACGCGUGCUGACAGCGUGGAGCGAAUCCUCAAAAAUACUCAGUCGCUCUAGA
rnacentral:rRNA from 1 species